AGCUUUAUAGUUGAAUUGGAUAAUAUUUAGUUGCAGGCUAAAAGGUGUAGAGGUAUUACUAAGGUUU
rnacentral:tRNA from 1 species